rnacentral:rRNA from 1 species
GUAGGUGGCAAGCGUUGUCCGGAAUUAUUGGGCGUAAAGCGCGCGCAGGCGGUUCUUUAAGUCUGAUGUGAAAGCCCACGGGCUCAACCGUGGAGGGUCAUUGGAAACUGGAGAACUUGAGUACAGAAGAGGAAAGCGGAAUUCCAAGUGUAGCGGUGAAAUGCGUAGAGAUGUGGAGGAACACCAGUGGCGAAGGCGGCUUUCUGGUCUGUAACUGACGCUGAGGCGCGAAAGCGUGGGGAGCAAACAGGAUUAGAUACCCUGGUAGUCCACGCCGUAAACGAUGAGUGCUAAGUGUUAGGGGGUUUCCGCCCCUUAGUGCUGCAGCUAACGCAUUAAGCACUCCGCCUGGGGAGUACGGCCGCAAGGCUG